GACGAACGCUGGCGGCGUGCUUAACACAUGCAAGUCGAACGCUGAACCCGCUUCGGUGGGGGAUGAGUGGCGAACGGGUGAGUAACACGUGGGCAACCUGCCCCCGGCUCUGGGAUAACUCCAAGAAAUUGGGGCUAAUACCGGAUGUGACCGCUGGCCGCAUGGUCUGGUGGUGGAAAGGGUUUCCGGCUGGGGAUGGGCCCGCGGCCCAUCAGCUUGUUGGUGGGGUAGUGGCCUACCAAGGCGACGACGGGUAGCCGGCCUGAGAGGGUGACCGGCCACACUGGGACUGAGACACGGCCCAGACUCCUACGGGAGGCAGCAGUGGGGAAUAUUGCGCAAUGGGCGGAAGCCUGACGCAGCGACGCCGCGUGGGGGAUGACGGCCUUCGGGUUGUAAACCUCUUUCAGCAGGGACGAAGCGCAAGUGACGGUACCUGCAGAAGAAGCACCGGCCAACUACGUG
rnacentral:rRNA from 1 species